AUGAUGUUGAAAGUCAGGCAAGGUCCCAUCUUCCAGAAAGCUGACAUUCUUGAGGGAUAUUGACUAUAAACAAAGACGGAAGCAGCAGCACCCAAACAAUUUGAGAACAUUCUAGAUUCUUCAGUGGUAUUUAUCAGGUGGAGACAAGUGAUUGUCUUCCAUACUUUCACCAAUGGUCUCAUGACCUUUCAUAGCUACCAGCCGUAAUACAGAGGGAGGAAAGUGACCACUGUGGGAAAGUUGGCAUGGAUGUGUCUCUUCGGGCUCUACAGUAACUCUUUGAAAGUGGUAUUAUAGUCUCUACUUAAAAUGGAGAAUCCAUGGCUGUGCAGUAAACCAGUCCCCAAGAUCCCUCAGAGUCCAGAAUUUGAACCCAGCUUCAUAAAUGUACAGAGUCCCCACUCUUUCCAUCGUACCAGGAAAGGGGGCCACACUCCAGCUCAUCUGAUAUAGGAGGAGAAGGAGACUGAAAGGAAAAAGUGGAACAAUGACCUACCAUCAUCCAUGAGCUGAAUUUACCCAUCUGUUGCUCCUCUCCAGAGGAAAAUGGGACUCACCAUCUAAUGGAUGUUCUCACCUCAUAAUAGUUCAAAGUCUUGGGAAAUUUUCCCUUUGAAGUUAGAUCUGUCUUUUUUUUUUUUUUUUUUUAAAUUUAUCACUGUUAGAGCUAUACUUUUAAACACAUUUUCUUGAAACUUCUGAUUAUCUCUUACAUGUUCUCUUGUCUCAUCUACGCUUUAAUUAGUUCAACAUAUGCCACAGUGUGUGUGUGGAAUACAUAUUAUGGAAAAGAUCUUUGAGAAUUUCUCCACGUAUGGAAAUGGCAAUUAAAAACCAAUUCUGUUCGGCUGGGAAAAUGAAGCCACAGGGGCAAGCAUACCUUUUUUAAAAAUGUUCAGCAAUAUCAAAUAAACCUUGGCUAAGCAAAAUAUAUUUUCCCAUGGACUCAUAACAAGAUGAAGGGUGAGAAUAGCUAAAAUGACAACAUGUUUGCAAACUUCCUGAGUGUGCUGCCAUAAAUUGCACCAUCAAUGCACAGAGGCACCAUGGAGGUUGAUCAGUGGGAGAGAAGACUGCUCGUAAACUUCUCUGCAUGGCAUUCGACACCAAGAACAUGUCGUGAGCAUUCCCGGCACCACUGCUAUGAAACACAAUCAAAUUUUCAUCUUCCAGAAAAAUAUAAAUUAGAUGUGCCUGGGCCUUAACAACAACAACAAAAAAAAAACCAAACAAAUAAAUCAACUGUGAACUGUC